rnacentral:rRNA from 1 species
GACGAACCGUGCGAACGUUGUUCGGAAUCACUGGGCUUAAAGGGCGCGUAGGCGGGCUGUCAAGUCGGUGGUGAAAUCUUUCGGCUCAACCGGAAAAUCGCCUCCGAUACUGGCGGCCUUGAGGGGGGUAGGGGCAUGUGGAACUUCCGGUGGAGCGGUGAAAUGCGUAGAUAUCGGAAGGAACGCCGGUGGCGAAAGCGACGUGCUGGACCCUUUCUGACGCUGAGGCGCGAAAGCCAGGGGAGCAAACGG